UGAGUGCUUCAGGGGAUUUGAAUCUGCGACUUCCCCAUCCUAGUUCAGCAUUCUAGCCAAGGGCAGGGCUCCCACGGCCCUGAUGGUUUUGGAGGCCUCCAGCUCCCGCCAGCCCAGCUGCAUGGCCAACGGACAGGGAUGAAGGAGCUCUAGUCCAACACCUGGAAGACCACAGUUUCCCUGUUGCUGCUGUUCUUAACAUUCAGAACUGGAAGGGGCCUUUGAGGUGGUUAUCCAGUCCAACUCCCAGCUCAACACAAGAGUCUUGCAACUACAGCAAGGAGUGGGGACCUUUGUCAUGCCCAGGGACACAUUCCCUUCUGAGCAACCUCAAAGGGACAUAUACUGGGGUUAUAGAUGCUUGGAGUGGUACUAGGCACAGCUGCUGCUGUUGCAACACCUCUUGGAAAUGGGGUUCCAAAAAGAGCAACAGGAUGUGACCAUGCCUCAUCCUUCCUGGGGACAUUCUAGGAGGGGGGAAACAAGAGAGCUGCAUCGUUCCCACCAGAGUGUGCAACUCAAGGGCCGGCUGAUAGCAAACAUGCUCUUCUGUCAAUCUGCAAAAACAAUAUUAACAGCAUUUUAAAACAACUUACAACCAUAAAAAUAAGCAUGCAGCUCAAGUGUGAAAUACCAGCAUUAAAAGGUGAAUUCCACAGAAUUCAGAUUGCAGCACAUUCAAACAUUAGGCAGGUGCCUUCACUGUAUUCCUUCCAGUGCCUGCUACAAACAUUCUAGUUUAGGUCAGCCUACCAAGAUACAAAGACUGUUGGUAUAUAUUUUAAGUUAAUUGUUUAUUUUAUCUUUUGAAUGUUUUUUAAAGAGUUGCUUUGACUGACAAUUGCUUUAUUCUCUUUGUAAACCAUUUUGAGGUUUUCUAAUGAUCAUGGGGUAUAUAGGUAAAGGGACCCCUGACCAUUAGGUCCAGUCAUGACCGACUCUGGGAUUGCGGCGCUCAUCUCGCUUUAU